rnacentral:rRNA from 1 species
AUUGAACGCUGGCGGCAGGCCUAACACAUGCAAGUCGAACGGUAGCACAGAGAGCUUGCUCUCGGGUGACGAGUGGCGGACGGGUGAGUAAUGUCUGGGAAACUGCCCGAUGGAGGGGGAUAACUACUGGAAACGGUAGCUAAUACCGCAUAACGUCGCAAGACCAAAGUGGGGGACCUUCGGGCCUCACACCAUCGGAUGUGCCCAGAUGGGAUUAGCUAGUAGGUGGGGUAAUGGCUCACCUAGGCGACGAUCCCUAGCUGGUCUGAGAGGAUGACCAGCCACACUGGAACUGAGACACGGUCCAGACGCCUACGGGAGGCAGCAGUGGGGAAUAUUGCACAAUGGGCGCAAGCCUGAUGCAGCCAUGCCGCGUGUAUGAAGAAGGCCUUCGGGUUGUAAAGUACUUUCAGCGGGGAGGUAGGCGGUGGAGUUAAUAACUUCACCGAUUGACGUUACCCGCAGAAGAAGCACCGGCUAACUCCGUGCCAGCCGCCGCAGUAA